AUCUAGAGUAUUUUGGGGGAUAGUGGAAUUUCCAGUGUAGCGGUGGAAUGUGUUGAUAUUGGAAGGAAUGCCAAAAGCGAAAGCAGCUAUCUAUGAAAUUACUGACGGUCAGAGACGAAAGUUUGGGUAGCAAACGGGAUUAGAUACCCCGGUAGUCCAAACUGUAAACGAUGCUUGCUAGGUGUUUUUCUAUGUAUAUAGAGAAGUGUCGUAACCUAACGGGUUAAGCAAGUCGCCUGGGUAGUAUAUUCGCAAGAAUGAAACUCAAAGGGAUAGGCGGGGGAACACACAAGCAGUGGAUGAUCUAGAUUAAUUGGAUAAUAAGCCAACAAUCUUACCUAUACUUGACAUAUACUGUGUCAUUAGUGAAAGCUAGUUAUUUUGUAGCAAUACAAAAGCGGUAUACAGGUGGUGCACGGUCGUCGUCAGUUCGUGCCGCAAGGUGUUCGGUUAAUUCCGAUAACGAGCGCAACCCUCAUCUUAUGUUAUUUAUGUCAUGAGAGACUGCCUGGGUAACCAGGAGGAAGGAGAGGAUGAUGUCAGAUCAUCAUGCCCCUUAUGUUUAGGGCUUCAUAGAUCAUACAAUGGGUAGGACAGCGAGAAGCAAUACCGUGAGGUGGAGCAAAUCUUCAAACCUAUCCUUAGUUCGGAUUGUAGUCUGGAACUCGACUACAUGAAGUUGGAAUUGCUAGUAAUGGUGGGUCAGAAUACCACCGUGAAUAUGUCCCUGUUCCUUGCACUCACCGCCCGUCAAACCAUGGGAGUCGAAGUCCUUUGAAAGCUCACAAUGUGGGAAUAGAAGGGAAGCGAUGACUGGGGUUAAGUCGUAACAAGGUAUCCCUACGGGAACGUGGGGAUG
rnacentral:rRNA from 1 species